GGAAUUUUCCGCAAUGGGCGAAAGCCUGACGGAGCAAUACCGCGUGAGGGAUGACGGCCUAUGGGUUGUAAACCUCUUUUUUCAGGGAGGAAAAAAAUGACGUUACCUGAAGAAUAAGCAUCGGCUAACUCCGUGCCAGCAGCCGCGGUAAGACGGAGGAUGCAAGUGUUAUCCGGAAUCACUGGGCGUAAAGCGUCUGUAGGUGGUUUAAUAAGUCAACUGUUAAAUCUUGAGGCUCAACCUCGAAACCGCAGUCGAAACUAUUAGACUAGAGUAUAGUAGGGGUAAAGGGAAUUUCCAGUGGAGCGGUGAAAUGCGUAGAGAUUGGAAAGAACACCGAUGGCGAAGGCACUUUACUGGGCUAUUACUAACACUGAGAGACGAAAGCUAGGGUAGCAAAUGGGAUUAGAUACCCCAGUAGUCCUAGCUGUAAACAAUGGAUACUAGAUGUUGAACAGAUCGACCUGUGCAGUAUCAAAGCUAACGCGUUAAGUAUCCCGCCUGGGAAGCAUGCUCGCAGAGUG
rnacentral:rRNA from 1 species